UACGAAGGGGGCUAGCGUUGCUCGGAAUUACUGGGCGUAAAGCGCACGUAGGCGGCUUUCUAAGUCGGGGGUGAAAUCCUGGAGCUCAACUCCAGAACUGCCUUCGAUACUGGAGAGCUUGAGUCCGGGAGAGGUGAGUGGAACUGCGAGUGUAGAGGUGAAAUUCGUAGAUAUUCGCAAGAACACCAGUGGCGAAGGCGGCUCACUGGCCCGGUACGUGACGCUGAGGAGCGAAAGCGUGGGGAGCGAACGAGG
rnacentral:rRNA from 1 species